CCUACCUAUCAGAGGGGAAUAACCCGGCGAAAGUCGGACUAAUACCGCAUAAAACAGGGGCACCGCAUGGUGAUAUUUGUUAAAGAAAUUCGCUGAUAGAUGGGCAUGCGUUCCAUUAGGUAGUUGGUGAGGUAACGGCUCACCAAGCCGACGAUGGAUAGGGAACUGAGAGGUUGGUCCCCCACACUGGUACUGAGACACGGACCAGACUCCUACGGGAGGCAGCAGUGAGGAAUAUUGGUCAAUGGGCGGGAGCCUGAACCAGCCAAGUCGCGGUAGGAAGGAAGAAGGAUCUAGUGGUUACGUAAACUUCUUUGCGAGGGGAAUAAAGUGCAGGACGUGUCCUUGUUUUGUAUGUACCCUGAGAAUAAGGAUCGGCUAACUCCGUGCCAGCCGCAGC
rnacentral:rRNA from 1 species